UACGGAAGGUCCGGGCGUUAUCCGGAUUUAUUGGGUUUAAAGGGAGCGUAGGCCGGAGAUUAAGCGUGUUGUGAAAUGUAGAUGCUCAACAUCUGCACUGCAGCGCGAACUGGUUUCCUUGAGUACGCAUAAAGUGGGCGGAAUUCGUGGUGUAGCGGUGAAAUGCUUAGAUAUCACGAAGAACUCCGAUUGCGAAGGCAGCUCACUGGGGCGCAACUGACGCUGAAGCUCGAAAGCGCGGGUAUCGAACAGG
rnacentral:rRNA from 1 species